rnacentral:rRNA from 1 species
GACGAACGCUGGCGGCGUGCUUAACACAUGCAAGUCGAACGGAAAGGCCCUGCUUUUGUGGGGUGCUCGAGUGGCGAACGGGUGAGUAACACGUGAGUAACCUGCCCUUGACUUUGGGAUAACUUCAGGAAACUGGGGCUAAUACCGGAUAGGAGCUCCUGCUGCAUGGUGGGGGUUGGAAAGUUUCGGCGGUUGGGGAUGGACUCGCGGCUUAUCAGCUUGUUGGUGGGGUAGUGGCUUACCAAGGCUUUGACGGGUAGCCGGCCUGAGAGGGUGACCGGCCACAUUGGGACUGAGAUGCGGCCCAGACUCCUACGGGAGGCAGCAGUGGGGGAUAGUGCACAAUGGGCGGAAGCCUGAUGCAGCAACGCCGCGUGCGGGAUGACGGCCUUCGGGUUGUAAACCGCUUUCGCCUGUGACGAAGCGUGAGUGACGGUAAUGGGUAAAGAAGCACCGGCUAACUACGUG